rnacentral:rRNA from 1 species
UGGGGGAUAUUGCACAAUGGGCGAAAGCCUGAUGCAGCGACGCCGCGUGGGGGAUGAAGGCCUUCGGGUUGUAAACUUCUUUUGCUCUGAACAAGGCAUGCCUUUGGGGUGUGUUGAGUGUAGGGGUUGAUUAGCGCCGGCUAACUACGUGCCAGCAGCCGCGGUAAUACGUAGGGCGCGAGCGUUGUCCGGAAUUAUUGGGCGUAAAGGGCUUGUAGGUGGCUGGUUGCGUCUGUCGUGAAAGCUCAUGGCUUAACUGUGGGUUUGCGGUGGGUACGGGCUGGCUUGAGUGCAGUAGGGGAGGGUGGAAUUACUGGUGUAGCGGUGGAAUGCGCAGAUAUCAGGAGGAAGAACGGUGGCGAAGGCGGGUCUCUGGGCUGUUACUGAAGCUGAGGAGCGAAAGCGUGGGGAGCGAACAGG